rnacentral:tRNA from 1 species
AGAAAAUAAAACGAACUAAUGCAUGGCUUCUAACCGCGCAAAGGGGGGUUCAAUUCCCUUCAUUUUCUU